rnacentral:rRNA from 1 species
AACGGAGGGUGCGAGCGUUAAUCGGAAUAACUGGGCGUAAAGGGUGCGUAGGUGGUUUAUUAAGUUAGCUGUAAAAAUCCUGAGCUUAACUUAGGGCGGUCAGCUAAUACUGGUGGACUAGAGUAUAGGAGAGGGUAGUGGAAUUUCCGGUGUAGCAGUGAAGUGCGUAGAGAUCGGAAGGAACACCAGUGGCGAAGGCGACCUUCUGGACAGAUACUGACACUGAGGCACGAAAGCGUGGGGAGCAAACAGG